ensembl:lncRNA
CCGGAGGGGGAGGAGAGGGAGGCAGGUGAACCAGAGGGCCUUAGCUCACUCCUCCCCAGAGUCCAAGGAGGCAGGAGACAACUUGGUUCCAAAUCUUUGACCAAGAAUGAAUCCCUCAGAGGACAGCCCUUCUCUUACUGCCAGUAAAGAAAUUCAUUUUCCCUAACAGUAGACCAACCUUUUAGUAACUGAUCAACAGUUCCUUUACUUGGGCAAUGGACCUGGACCCAUAGGAGGUUUUUUCUCUCAGGCCUCCUCCAGUGUAUCUGGAGUCUGGAUCCUGCUUUUCUGAGUCUCCUGGCCCUCCCUCAGCUCAGGACCAGAAAACUCCUCCCAUCCAUCAGUCUGCAGAGCCCUGAAGCCCCCUACCCUAGAGCACCCCAAAGAACAGAUUACCCCCAGUGCCUGCUCUACUUGGGGUCUAUUAAUAUAUGGACACCUAAUCCCACCCCAGUUCUGCUGUCCAUUCCUAGAAUGGUCACAUGAACACUGCUGAGUCCCCAGGAAAAAGCCAGAUGCCUGAUCUUCCCAACUCUCCCCCUCAGACCCCCCAAAGGCACAUGUGACCCAUCAUCCUGGAUAUAAAGGUGAUGUCACCCUGAGGUGCUGGGCUCUGGGCUUCUAUCCUGCUGAGAUUUCCCUGACCUGGCAGUUGGAUGGGGAGGACCUGAUCCAGGAAAUGGAGUUUGUGGAAACCAGACCAGCAGGGGAUGGAAACUUCCAGAAGUGGGCAGCCGUGGUGGUGCCUUCUGGGGAGGAACAGAAAUACACAUGCCAUGUGCACCAUGAGGGGCUGCCUGAGCCCCUCACCCUGAGAUGGGGUAAGGAGGAAGUGGGUGCAGAGCUGGAGGCAGCUGUAGUCAGAGCUUAGAACUGGGUGGUCCUCAUCUCCCCCUCCUUUCCCAGAGCCUCCUUGGAACAAGAAAUAUUGGUUUCUCCUCCUUAUCCUCAUCCUCAUCACAGUUUGGGUGCUUUGCAUAUGUAAGAAGAAGGAUGCAGGUAGGAUGCUGAGUUUACUUGUCCCACUGAGGGCUUCAAGCCAUAGGUGGCAGUGUCCUGCCUAGGUAAUGGGAUGUACCAUCCACAGCUCUGUGUCUCCUUCAUUUGUGACCUUUUUGUUUAGGCUUCAAAAGUAGAGAAGGGAAGAUUUGCUUGGGGGAUGGUUCUGGUGACUGAGAUCUCAUGUCCAGCUGUCGCAAGCAGAGGUCUCACUAAGGACAAACCUCCAGGAAGCUAUUACAAUGUCUCAGUUCUCGAAAUUUCCCUUGGGCUAGGGACUAAGGUUCCCAACCCUUUGGAGGUCACAUUAAGAUAUCCUUCGUAUCAGACUUGCAUUAUGAUUCAUAGAAGCAAAAUGACAGUUACGAAGCAGCAACACAAUAAUUUUAUGGCCGGUGGCUCACCACAGCAUGAGGAGCUGUGUUUAAGGGUGGCAGCAUGAGGAAGUGCCUGCUCCCAUGAUACCCAUACAUGGAUUUCUUUCCUCAGGUGGGAGAGGAAGGAGCCACACUCAGGAAGAAGGCAGGAACAGUGGCCAGGACUCUGGUGAGACGGCCGUGGAUGAUGAGGAGAUGGUCAUUCUCUCUGGGGAGCCUGAGCCCUCUCGGAAUCGUCCAGACCACUCCUUCAGACUGAGUGAUCUGUCAUUCUGAAAAGGGUUUCUCCAUGAUUCAGUCCUGGCUGCCCUGUAACUCACUCUGUAGCCCAGGAUGGCCUCGAACCCACAGAGAUCCACCUGCCUCUGCCUGCCAAGUGCUGGGAUUAAAGGCAUGUGCCACCACCAUACAGCUCAGAAUGGAAUCUUCUGUUUUGUAUAUCACCAGACAUCUUCACAGUCAACUUGACUGGACUUAGAAUCACCUAGAAGCCGCCCCUCUGGAUGUGUCUGUGAGGGUGUUUCUAGCCAGGUUUAACCCAGGAGGAAGAAACAGGUUGACUGUAAGGUAGCUUCACUCACAGCUGGAGUCUGAAGAGAAAGCCAGCAGGACACUGGAGUCCCCCUUCCUGUGUUUCCUAACAGGACAUGAGCAGGCCAUCUCCUGCCACCAUGAACAGAGACAGGUCCCACUUUUCUGUCUUGAACAUCUGACACCUGUCUCUUCCCUAAGUGGCUUCUCAUCAGGUAUUUUUUGUCGCAGGGCACAGGGUUAGACACAAAGCUCCUUCCCCACAUCCAAGGCUUCCUGAGCAUCACUCCCUAAUCUUUUAGAGACUUUCACUCAGGCCAAACUGGGAUCUAUGGCUUUGGUGCGGAAAAGGAUUAUGGACUACUAGAGCUGGUG